CAUCACCGCAUUCAUUCACGUUGCCAAAAGCUCAGCUGGAUGGGGACCUCUGCAUGGACACAGGGACAAGCUGCCCCUUUGCUGGCGUGCCUUGGGGUCUCCAUCACUUUGGCCAAACCAACCUGGAGGAAAUCUUCUUCAUCUUUAAUUGCUGUCUCCUCUUUGAGCUACCUGGGCUCCUUACUUUGGCCAACCCCUCCCGCGGUACGCGACCAUCUGAAACGAACAGCGCCAGUCCUCAGAGCCCCGGUCUCCUUCCAUCCCGUAACACUAUGCAGAGCUAACCACAGCCUUAAUGUACUGACAGUUAAACUGCUUUUAUCUCUUUUAUUUUCCACAAAGUUCUCACACAAUAAUCCCCCUGUCAUAUUUUUUACCAAUAAAAUAUAUGAAUCGCUAAUCUAGUGGCUAACUUUACAGUGAUACGAGAUCUCCCCUUGUAAUGACUUCCACAGUGAAAUAACAAAAUCCCUAUCAAAGGCAAUCUUUUUAUGACUGCUAGAAAGACCGUCUCUAUCCAGACACUUGCCAUCAGUUUGGUUUUAACUCCCUUCUCCCCUUGCAUGACUGAGAAAAUGGACUAGCCCUAAAUUUAGGAUAAACACACGAUUACCAGGCAUUUAGCAACAGAAAACUUUCCCUGCUUUGUUUAGCCUAGACACGUCCAAGUGGAAAAGCCAAGGAACACUCCUCCCCACCUCCCUUUAGCCGUGGAUAAAACCCACACGCUGCAGAAGAGAAAUUUCUAACAAAAAUUGGCCCUCCUGAGCGUGCAGUUGGUGGCAGACCCCUCGUUCAAUAAAUUACGUCACUUUGGGUCGUGGCAGCACGGGAGCACGACGCGAGGCGGCGAGCAAGCGUGUGUCUGGUUUUGGCACCGGUGGAGCAAUCAUAAAAAAGCACUUUAAUGUUUACAGCGGAGGCUGAGCUGUGCCCAACGCCCUGGCGAGGAGGGAGGUGCGGAUGCUCCCGGCUUUGUGCUCGUGGGUGAGCACCCGGCAGCCACCCCGCUCCCCCUGCCACGAGGCUGGAGGGGUUUGGGGAUGUUCGCGAACCUGCCAUCAGCACCCGCUGGGCUUCUUUUCACUCUCCACGCUGGGUAUUUCAGCCCCACGCAUCUGCCCCUUUGUUUCCUUCACCGUUCCCACUAGCUAACAGCUUCCUAAAAAGUUCCCUGGAUGCUCCCCAAACCUGGUGCUCCCGUGGCUCUGGACCUGUAGCUCUCCGCCCUGUCUGCUCCAGCUGAUGCGAGGUUUUUGGGGUAGGGACUGCCCGUCUGCACCCCGUGAAACAGCGCCUUGUUCUCCACUGGCCUUUGGAGAGCAACGUGCAGAUGGGGAUGUGAAUAAUCUCUCACAUUUAGUUGUCAUCCCCAUAAAGGCAAAUUGCAACUGAUUGCCCCUUACUUCCCCCUAAAGCCCUCCCUACCAAACGAGACCUCAGGAACCGAGCGCAGCUCUGCAGAGCCCUGUGUUUAACUACAAUUUACUGAUUAGCUGCCAGGCAGUGCAUAUCACAGGGGGGAUCGCAUUUCACCAUUCUGAUAUAUUUUAAUCCCUGAAUAAGUAAUCAGAUGCUCCGAGCACUACCACGCCGUGUAUUCCCUACAACCUGCUGUAAGGGAAGGCUGAAAUCUCAGUCGGAGGGACGUGGAAGACCACAGCCCCAAAAGGGGUUCUCUUGGAAAGCAAACCCCAAAGGAGCUGUGGGGCCACGAGGAGACUGCGAGGGGCUGGGGGAGGCGAGCAAGGACACAUUCCGGUUCAUGGAAAGAAACUUUUGCGCAAUCCCCUUAAUAAAAAGCACUGCAGGAAACCCACUGCUCGCUGACGGGCUGUGGGAAGUGGAAAGCUGAGGAUGUGCACUCGGAGCAACGCCGGCGUCUCAAGGAGAGGUCAUCUGCACAACGAGCAGAGAGGGAAUUUCUGCUGCCGGUAAAUAAAUAAAUAAGGGCAACAGCAGCUCUGCAGACCUGGCCAGCCUCACCCCAGAAGCAUGCAGGUUUGCAGGACUUCGCUCCGCCUACGCAGGAAGGGGGUUUUUGUGGGUUUGCCAAUAUUACAAAACCACUGCAUAAGUUGGGUGAGAAACUGAAACCAUUUCAGUGGUCAGCAAAGCACGACGCCGCGUGUGCAGAGCUGAAGUAGGCUGUUGUGCCUCUUUCUGUGUCGGGACACGUCUUCCCAACUCCCUCUCACAUGAGACAGAUGCUUCUGCUUCUGGUUUUGCGGGCAACACGAGAACCUGGAGCACUUGGGAGGACGGUGGCUCGUUACAGCGUGAACCUGGGCUCUCCAGAGCUGCUAAUUAGAGAGAUAAUAUCUCGGUUGCUUUACGAGCAUUAGAAGACUUUUGCUUGCGUGGAGAUACUUCUGCAGAGGAAAGCAGAGGUGGAUUUAGCAGAGAGCAAUUGUUUAGUAAAAAGAAGAAAUGAUUUACCACAGCCGGGUGCGUUUUUAUAUUUUAAUUAAUCUCGCUUUAGUCAAAAAAAAAAA